UGCUUUUCCGCCGUCGCACAGUUUAUUCAUGACCAAGUGCAGUGCAAAUUAUUAAACAUUUUCGUGCAAAUCGUGCAAUUCGUGCGGCCAGUGCAAAUGAUCUGGAGAUAAAAACUACCAUUACGGUUCUAUCGUCAAUUGUGCCAGAAUUAAACGUUGCCUGGGAUGGACAGCACACUACGCCAUUUGUCACAUUAAUCACAGACGCAGGGACAACUUUGAAACGAAUGACUUUGCUGCGCCCGAAGCUGUCGUUUACAAUCGACAGUCUUAUCACACCCGAACUGGACCCCAGAGACGAGGAAGAUAGGGUGAUCGUGGUAUUCGAACAGGACGAUAGUCGAUCACCCAACACGAGCAUUGUACAAUCGUCAUCCAGCAGCAGCAGCUCGCCCUAAGCUUUCAAAUAGGCCUCUCUCCGGUGAUCGUUUUAAUCUUCUAUACUAGUGUUUCGAUCGGUUACCUUCGUUGCGGUCUCUCAUUGGAUAUCCGUUAUCAUCGCAAUUUCAUCAUCAUCGUCCUCCGGCGCGAAAUCUGGUUCAUGUGGGAGGAGGACAGCAUGGAUUCCCCCCUGCUGGACGCCUCCCCGACGUUAACAUAUCUGUAUACCUCGAUCAACCGUGUCUAUCAGUCGUCAUCCGAUAUAUUAGUCCAAGCAGUCUAUACGAUCUAGAAAUGAUGGAGUUCUGAUGUUCGCUAAAGGAGAGACGAGAGUCCAUCACACACUCACAUUUCAAAACUGUUUGGUCGUAGAAGGUAUAGUCAUAAUAAGUCUUCGAUUUGCUGCUUGCAUCAAUUCUUUAUUCAGUUCAAACCUUAUCAUCUAACCUUAAACUAUAAAACAUAAUUCACAGCACUUUGCUCAGUGUCAUUCCAUAUCACAAUUCAAAACUUACACUAUCAUAAGGCACAUUUCAUAUUCAGUAAUGUAAAUAACUAAAGGAUGGCAUCAAAAUCAAAUAAGUCAUUUAAUGAAAAUUAAUUUGAAUUGCAUCGCGCGUGAGCAUUUUUGAUAAUUGUUUUAAAGAAAGUGUUCAUUUCUCCCAUAGUAAAUGAUGAAUUGUACUGCAAAAUGCAACAGUAAAACAGGUUCAAAGUAUUUUUGUACUUCUUCAAUGCUUUUUUUUUUUCCUUCUGCUGAUUUGCUUUUCCUGUCCAAGAGAAUAGUGGGAAUAGCUCCCUUGUGAACAAGUAGUCGACUAUCUCAUAGCAGACCUCUUUUCCGCUUUGGUUACUAUUGCUAAUAGGUUUAUAUUGCUUAACCUUUGCCUUACACUGUGUGAUAAAUUGUUCGUUGGAUGCCUGCCGGUCGAAUACGUCCAACUCCUCUAUUGUGGACACAGGUUUCAGCACACUUAACUGGUUGAAUGAUAGGAUUUCCACUGUUGCUUCUAGUUUCGAUACCCUCUUAGUGAUGUCGUUGACGGUCUCGUAAAGCACUGCCAUCUCUUUCACAAUCCUUUCCAAAACAAUAUUGAUUUGAUCCAUCGUGUGUGAUCCUGAAAGUAAUAAUCAAGAUCUCCAACUCUACAGCAGAUGAAACUUUACUUCGAUCAAAUUCGAUCAUAUAUCAGUAUAAAAUCACCGGUGCAAGAGCAUUCCAAGAACGUCAACCGUCCGGUUAUCAACACAGCUGCUCUCCACUGCGGACGCCACC